rnacentral:piRNA from 1 species
GAGUUGAAUCCAGUUCUUUAAGCCUCUGC